ensembl:lncRNA
CCCCAGAGUUCGGGCUGAGAGCCGGCAUCCAGGCUGCACCUGAGAAGGACGGGGACUUGCACCUCACACUCCACAUCUCUGCAGAGUGCAACUGAUCCUGCUUUUUCAGCCAAAGGAAAGACAACUUGCUGGGCGUUUAUGCAUAAAUAUAUGCUAUUUACUUUAGUGUUGACAUGGACUUUGUACAAUCGUGUGUGUAUGAAUGACUAACCUGAAGGCCAGAAGGCCACCCUGGGGUCACUCACAUCUCCCAGGCUGCACAACGUCCUCCUGGAUUUUCAGUGACGCUUCCUGUCUCUGAUGUCUUACGAGAUUUUUUUGGCCUGCAUUUGACACUUGAUCAUUUACCUUUCAGGUGGAUCCACAGGAUUCCUGUGGGCAGGAGGAGCAGCUGCCCUGCCCAGGCCCUCUCUCUCUCGUACCUGACACCCACAGCUGCUCUGCUGGCUGCUCCUCCGUUCUGUCCCGCGUCAUGGUCUCAGAAAUGAGCUCGGUGUUUCCACAGGCUGCUCCCAAGUACAGGUCUGAUGACUCAGAUGCUGCCUGUCGUGGACAUCAGGGCCAGCACAGCUUCUAGACAUCCUCUUAGCGGAAGAACAGAAAACGGGAACUGGCAAGGAAGUCACAGUAAUUCUUCAACUGUGUCCGGGCACCAAUGCAGGCUUUGCACUUAGUCACCGUCACCCCGUCUGUCAGACACACCCAUGAUUUCCUCACCAGUGACUUUUACUCGGACGGCAUGAAGUUAAAAAGUAAAGAUACACAUAAUUUGGAUGCUGGCAGGCAGCAGAGGAGAAUGGGAUCCAGGAACCUGAGUUCGACGAGGUUGAAGGGACAGGUCUCAGUUUCUUGUCGACUGAAGAGCUCACCAACCUUUAGGUCUCCUGGUUUCCAAGCCAGCGGUCUUUCUAAGACUCCAAGCCAGGCUGUCCGAAUACCAUGUAUUCAGAAUACUCCUGUAACCUCAGCACCUGGGAGGCUGAGGGAGGAGGCUGCCCAUGAGUUCAAGGACAGCCUGAGCUCCAUAGUGAGUUCAAGGCCAGCCUGGAAUACAGAGUGAGACCCUGUCUCAAACAAACAACAAACAAACAAGCAUUUCUUCACACUGUUUUAAUUAAUUCAGCUGGCUAAAUCCCAAGAAUGGAUAAGCCUGUCUCAGAGUUAGAGACAGCAAGUCAGUCCAAAGCAAUCUGACAUUCCUCUAAAACUGAAUAGAUUUGAAGUGCAACAUCCUUGGGCUGUGAUCUCAUUUCCUGUUUAAAAAAAUACUACAAAUGAGCUCUUCUGUACGGGCACUCAUUAUAUCUUAGCUUUAUUAAUUCUAUCAUAUUGCCGG